GCGGUCGUGGCGGAAUUGGUAGACGCGCAGCGUUGAGGGCGCUGUUCCCGUAAGGGAGUGGAAGUUCGAGUCUUCUCGACCGCACCA
rnacentral:tRNA from 1 species